GGUGAAGAACGUAGCGAAAUGCGAUAAGUAAUGUGAAUUGCAGAAUUCAGUGAAUCAUCGAAUCUUUGAACGCACAUUGCGCCCGCUAGUAUUCUGGCGGGCAUGCCUGUCCGAGCGUCAUUUCAACCCUCAAGCCCCCGGGCUUGGUGUUGGGGAUCGGCGAGCCUCCGCGCCCGCCGUCCCCUAAAUCUAGUGGCGGUCUCGCUGUAGCUUCCUCUGCGUAGUAGCACACCUCGCACUGGGAAACAGCGCGGCCACGCCGUUAAACCCCCAACUUCUGAACGUUUGACCUCGGAUCAGGUAGGAAUACCCGCUGAACUUAAGCAUAUCAAUAAGCGGAGGA
rnacentral:misc_RNA from 1 species